AGUGAACGCUGGCGGCAGGCCUAAUACAUGCAAGUCGAACGGCAGCACAGCAGAGCUUGCUCUGUGGGUGGCGAGUGGCGGACGGGUGAGGAAUACAUGGGAAUCUGCCCAGUCGUGGGGGAUAACGUAUGGAAACGUACGCUAAUACCGCAUGCGCCCUACGGGGGAAAGUCGGGGACCGCAAGGCCUGACGCGAUUGGAUGAGCCCAUGUUCGAUUAGCUAGUUGGCGGGGUAAAGGCCCACCAAGGCGACGAUCGAUAGCUGGUCUGAGAGGAUGAUCAGCCACACUGGAACUGAGACACGGUCCAGACUCCUACGGGAGGCAGCAGUAGGGAAUAUUGGACAAUGGGGGCAACCCUGAUCCAGCCAUGCCGCGUGAGUGAAGAAGGCCCUCGGGUUGUAAGCUCUUUUGUCCGGAAGAAAGCAAUCGGUUAAUACCCGGUUGUUCUGACGGUACCGGAAGAAUAAGCACCGGCUAACUUCGUGCC
rnacentral:rRNA from 1 species